rnacentral:rRNA from 1 species
GAUGAACGCUGGCAGUAUGCUUUACACAUGCAAGUCGUACGGGAGUUUUUAACUCAAGUGGCGGACGGGUGAGUAACACGUAAGAAUUUACCUUUAGGAGGGGGAUAACAACUGGAAACGGUUGCUAAUACCCCAUAUGCUUUCGAGUGAAAUGGAAUUUUCCGCCUAGAGAGAAGCUUGCGGCUGAUUAGCUUGUUGGUGUGGUAAUGGCUCACCAAGGCGACGAUCAGUAUCUGGUUUGAGAGGACGAUCAGACACACUGGAACUGAGACACGGUCCAGACUCCUACGGGAGGCAGCAGUGGGGAAUUUUCCGCAAUGGGCGAAAGCCUGACGGAGCAAUACUGCGUGAGGGAUGACGGCCUAUGGGUUGUAAACCUCUUUUUCAGGGAGGAAUAAAUGACGUGUACCUGAAGAAUAAGCAUCGGCU